rnacentral:rRNA from 1 species
AGAGUUUGAUCAUGGCUCAGAACGUACGCUGGCGGCACGCCUAAUACAUGCAAGUCGAACGAAGUAGCAAUACUUAGUGGCAGACGGGUGAGUAACAUGUGGGUAUCUUCCCUAUGGUGAGGAAUAACACGAGGAAACUUGUGCUAAUACCGGAUAAGUCUUUACGGAGAAAGCUUCAUGCACCAUUGGAUGAGCCCGCACUUGAUUAGUUUGUUGGUGGGGUAAUGGCCUACCAAGACUUUGAUCAAUAGCUGAUUUGAGAGGAUGAUCAGCCACAUUGGGACUGAGACACGGCCCAAACUCCUACGGGAGGCAGCAGUGGGGAAUCUUGCACAAUGGAGGAAACUCUGAUGCAGCGAUGCCGCGUGAGUGAAGAAGGCCUUUGGGUUGUAAAGCUCUUUCGUCGGGGAAGAAAAUGACUGUACCCGAAUAAGAAGGUCCGGCUAACUUCGUGCCAGCAGCCGCGGUAAUACGAAGGGACCUAGCGUAGUUCGGAAUUACUGGGCUUAAAGAGCUCGUAGGUGGUUAAAAAAGUUGAUGGUGAAAUCCCAAGGCUCAACCUUGGAACUGCCAUCAAAACUUUUUAGCUAGAGUGUGAUAGAGGUAAGUGGAAUUUCUAGUGUAGAGGUGAAAUUCGUAGAUAUUAGAAAGAACACCAAAUGCGAAGGCAACUUACUGGGUCACUACUGACACUGAGGAGCGAAAGCAUGGGUAGCGAAGAGGAUUAGAUACCCUCGUAGUCCAUGCCGUAAACGAUGUGUGCUAGACGUUGGAAAUAUAUUUUUCAGUGUCGCAGCGAAAGCAUUAAGCACACCGCCUGGGGAGUACGACCGCAAGGUUAAAACUCAAAUGAAUUGACGGGGACCCGCACAAGCAGUGGAGCAUGUGG